GAUGAACGCUGGCGGCGUGCCUAAUACAUGCAAGUCGAGCGAACGGACGAGAAGCUUGCUUCUCUGAUGUUAGCGGCGGACGGGUGAGUAACACGUGGAUAACCUACCUAUAAGACUGGGAUAACUUCGGGAAACCGGAGCUAAUACCGGAUAAUAUUUUGAACCGCAUGGUUCAAAAGUGAAAGACGGUCUUGCUGUCACUUAUAGAUGGAUCCGCGCUGCAUUAGCUAGUUGGUAAGGUAACGGCUUACCAAGGCAACGAUGCAUAGCCGACCUGAGAGGGGGAUCGGCCACACUGGAACGGAGACACGGACCAUACUCCUACGGGAGGCAGCAGUAGGGUAUCUUCCGCAGUGGGCGAAAGCCUGACGGAGCAACGCCGCGUGAGUGAUGAAGGUCUUCGGAUCGUAAAACUCUGUUAUUAGGGAAGAACAUAUGUGUAAGUAACUGUGCACAUCUUGACGGUACCUAAUCAGAAAGCCACGGCUAACUACGUG
rnacentral:rRNA from 1 species